UACAGAGGUCCCAAGCGUUACUGAGAAUCACUGGGUUAAAGGUGCGUAGGUGGUCCGUUAAGUCAGUUGUGAAAUCCCGGCUCAACCGGAAAUGCUUCUGAUACUGGCGGACUUGAGGCCAGUAGGGUCACUAGAACUGACGGUGGAGCGGUGAAAUGCGUAGAUAUCGUCAGGAAUGCCGGUGGUGAAGACGGUGACUGGCUGGUUCUGACACUGAGGCACGAAAGCGUGGGAGCG
rnacentral:rRNA from 1 species